UACCAGCACCCCGAGUGGUCGGGACGAUUAUUGGGCCUAAAGCAUCCGUAGCCGGUUUUACAAGUCCUCCGUUAAAUCCAGCCGCUUAACAGAUGGGCUGCGGAGGAUACUAUAAGACUAGGAGGCAGGAGAGGCAAGCGGUACUCAGUGGGUAGGGGUAAAAUCCGUUGAUCCAUUGAAGACCACCAGUGGCGAAGGCGACAUCCUGGACCGGUAUUGACGCUGAGGCGCGAAAGCCAGGGGAGCAAACGGG
rnacentral:rRNA from 1 species